GACGAACGCUGGCGGCGUGCCUAAUACAUGCAAGUCGAACGAACUCUGGUAUUGAUUGAUGCUUGCAUCAUGAUUUACAUUUGAGUGAGUGGCGAACUGGUGAGUAACACGUGGGGAAACCUGCCCAGAAAGCGGGGGAUAACACCUGGAAACAGAUGCUAAUACCGCAGUAACAACUUGGACCGCAUGGUCCGAGUUUGAAAGAUGGCUUCGGCUAU
rnacentral:rRNA from 1 species